AACGUACGCUGGCGGCAGGCCUAACACAUGCAAGUCGAGCGAGACCUUAGGGUCUAGCGGCGGACGGGUGAGUAACGCGUGGGAACGUGCCCUUCUCUACGGAAUAGUCCCGGGAAACUGGGUUUAAUACCGUAUACGCCCUUCGGGGGAAAGAUUUAUCGGAGAAGGAUCGGCCCGCGUUAGAUUAGAUAGUUGGUGGGGUAAUGGCCUACCAAGUCUACGAUCUAUAGCUGGUUUUAGAGGAUGAUCAGCAACACUGGGACUGAGACACGGCCCAGACUCCUACGGGAGGCAGCAGUGGGGAAUCUUGGACAAUGGGGGCAACCCUGAUCCAGCCAUGCCGCGUGAGUGAUGAAGGCCUUAGGGUCGUAAAGCUCUUUCGCCAGGGAUGAUAAUGACAGUACCUGGUAAAGAAACCCCGGCUAACUCCGUG
rnacentral:rRNA from 1 species